CGGUCUUUUUCUUCAAUUCCUCCUCGAGAAGAAACACGCAAACAUCUGCAAUCGCUGUUACAAAUACAACAACCACCACCACGGCAACACCUUAUUUCUAUUUUUGUUUUUCUCCUCAAUCCCAAGCACUCAUUGCGGAGUGGCUUCACACGGACUCAAAAAGAACAAUUGUAGGAGUGGAUAUGGACCUUGAGAAACUUGAAUGGAGCUUAAGGAAUAAUGUUGAUUCAAAUGGGUUCUAGCUUUACCAAUAAGGCUUCAACUAGGGAUGUAAUGAAACUUAAGGAUGC